rnacentral:rRNA from 1 species
CCUACGGGGGCCAGCAGUAGGGAAUCUUCCACAAUGGACGAAAGUCUGAUGGAGCAACGCCGCGUGUGUGAUGAAGGGUUUCGGCUCGUAAAACACUGUUGUAAGAGAAGAAUGACAUUGAGAGUAACUGUUCAGUGUGUGACGGUAUCUUACCAGAAAGGAACGGCUAAAUACGUGCCAGCAGCUGCGGUAAUACGUAUGAUCCCAGCGUUAUCCGGAUUUAUUGGGCGUAAUGCGAGCGCAGACGGUUAGUUAAGUCCGAAUUGAAUGCCCACAGCUAAACUGUGAAAGGGCUUUGAAAAGUGGGUGACUUGAGUGCAGUAGAGGAGGGUGGAACUCCAGUUGUAGCGGUAAAAUGCGAAGAUAUAUGGAAGAACACCAGUGGCGAAGGCGGCUCUCUGGACUGUAACUGACGUUGAGGCUCGAAAGUGUGGGUAGCAAACAGGAUUGGAUACCCCGGUAGUC